rnacentral:rRNA from 1 species
UACGUAGGGGGCAAGCGUUGUCCGGAAUUAUUGGGCGUAAAGAGCUCGUAGGCGGUUUGUCGCGUUGUCCGUGAAAACUCACAACUCAAUUGUGGGCGUGCGGGCGAUACGGGCAGACUGGAGUACUGCAGGGGAGACUGGAAUUCCUGGUGUAGCGGUGGAAUGCGCAGAUAUCAGGAGGAACACCGGUGGCGAAGGCGGGUCUCUGGGCAGUAACUGACGCUGAGGAGCGAAAGCGUGGGGAGCGAACAGG